rnacentral:misc_RNA from 1 species
UUUUCUUUCUUUUUCUCGUAAGAUAGAGUUAGGAAGAUGAGUCAAUUUUCAUUAGUUAAAAACAGGCUAGAAGGCCUAAAUACAAAAGCAGGCUCAUGGUCACCAAACAAAUAAAGAAACCAGUGAAAGAUCCAAACUCUACCUAAAAAAAAUUGUAGUCCGGUAAAAAUCAUCGUGCCACAGAGGAACCCAACUGAUAAAAACUCGGCGAGAAUCGCAGCAAUGCCAACUUGAUCUGGCUAACACCGGUGGGAGAGUAAGGAACUAACUGAAGCAUCAUUAGGCGACCUUAUACGGUUGAAUAUGCCUGAAGGGGAGGUACCCCAAAAGACAGUAAUCCAAGGGAACCGGACGACAAGCAGGAAAACCAAAGACCAAUAGGAACACUGCCAUGGAAAUAGCUAUCAUCUAGAAAACUACUUCGGUAUGAAAGAUGGAGAAGGAAGCAGAGCUCUCCAUCCUAGGUUGGCGAGCACCAUCAGUGUCAGUAGAGACCCUGAGAUCCCAUCCCUCUCUAAACCAAUUACAAAAGCGCUCGCAUCUGGAAGCAGACCCACACAGAGCAACAACACAGCCCUCUGGACAUCUCCUUGAAAACACGCUUACAUGUAACAAAUUCCAACCAACAAACACAGGAAACUAAAACCAUCGGAGCUCAAGCAGCCACAAACCAUCCCUCUUCUUGUCUCCGCUGGCUGCACUCCCAAAAACAAAACUCUAUCUACAAACCCACUUAGGGCGAAGAGAAAACUCAAGGACCGACUCGCUCAGUGGGGCAGAGAAAGACCACUUGCUGCGGUAGAAGGAAAUGGCCUUGAAUCUAUAGAGAAAUAAAAAUUAGAGAAAAUUGUGUCCUCUUUUCUUUAUUUGGUUGGUUUGGCAUGGUUCCUUAUUUUACCAGACAUUCGUUUAUGAAUUGAUGACUAAUUUCAAGAAUCGACAUUGUAGUUUUUUCGCUAAAUGCUCAUAAACAGAAUCAUGGUUUCUGUAUUGAGGGUCAGAAUAUAUUAAUCGGUAGCCUAGCAGCAUUGGUUUCACUAGCUGGGUAGAAUAGUGCCCUAGAGUAGAGGGAUGACGGGGGUGGGACCUGAAG